rnacentral:rRNA from 1 species
AUACGUAGGUGGCAAGCGUUGUCCGGAUUUAUUGGGCGUAAAGCGAGCGCAGGCGGUUUCUUAAGUCUGAUGUGAAAGCCCCCGGCUCAACCGGGGAGGGUCAUUGGAAACUGGGAGACUUGAGUGCAGAAGAGGAGAGUGGAAUUCCAUGUGUAGCGGUGAAAUACGUAGAUAUAUGGAGGAACACCAGUGGCGAAGGCGACUCUUUGGUCUGUAACUGACGCUGAGGCUCGAAAGCGUGGGGAGCAAACAGGAUUAGAUACCCUGGUAGUCCACGCCGUAAACGAUGAGUGCUAAGUGUUGGAGGGUUUCCGCCCUUCAGUGCUGCAGCUAACGCAUUAAGCACUCCGCCUGGGGAGUACGACCGCAAGGUUGAAACUCAAAGGAAUUGACGGGG